AAAAUUUGUUCUUUCAGAUUCAAACAACACAAUAAAUAAGAUUAAGAAAAUUCUUCUCGAUCGUGCAAAGUUUAAAAUCGAGUCAUCUUUAAAUAACAAAAAGAAAAAAAAAAAAGGAAAAAGAUUGCUAAACGGCAAUUUCAUCGUGAACGGAAAUGACAAAUCGUAGAUACGUCAAGGUACCGAGGAAAGAAAGAUUUGCAAGAAGAUUAUCGCGAUUUCGAUACGGUCGAAGAUUGUUUCCUUUCGUCACACCUGAGCAUACGCCGCGUUUCCAUCGAAUUCGCCUCGGAGGGAACCGUGUUCGAAGCAACAGCUGCCGACCGAUCCCUUCCUCCGAGAAUUAAAACGAGACCCAGUUGCCAAAGAAGGGAGCGUCCCUCGACGAAACCCACCGGCCAUGGUACACUUAUCCUUUCGCCUCGAAUCACCUUUAUAACCAUCCUAAUAUCUCUAGGUUGACCACAUGAUACACGCCGAGGAAUCACUAGUCUAUUCUUGUACGUUGUACUCUUUCAUAACAUCGAACAGUAGUAUGACACGUAGUUUACGCGAGUUCAUUCAUGAUGUUUGGGUUAAAUUAGUUUUACUGUAAAUGUUUGGAUGAUACGGUAAGGAAAAUAAUUUUUGAAAUAUAUAUUUUUACCGUUUAUUGUAUUAGGCGAAUAUUUUAUAAAAAUUGCAUCUUAAAAUUAUUUGGAAAAAUAUAAAAGCAUCAGUAUAUUGCAUCAUAAAAAUAUAUUCGCUGCGUUUAUCUUCAACACAUAUUAAAAGUGAAAUCGUAUCAUCGUUAAAUAGAAAAAAAAAUACUUUACUGAAAUAAUGGAAAGAAAAGAGGCAAUCUUAAUUUUCCUAAUUAGUAAUUGAUAAAAAAACUGGAACAGAAUCGUGUCAUCAUCCAAUAUAGUAUUCAUACGACGGAAAAUAACUGGAUUCUCAAAAAGAAAAAAGAAAAAGAAAAGGUACGCUCAUCUCCUAUAUCAAACAAGGAGGGAGAAAAAAUGGAGCGAAAUACAAAGGGUUUGUUGUACAUUGGUUUCGAGCUUAUUUUUUUUUUUCUUUUUUUUUUUUUUCUUGAAACAAUUAGCAAGCAACUAAUCUGAAGGACGCUCAUUAUGGCAGAGAAACGUAUGUUCAAUACGAAGAUAUCCUUAUCGCUAUUGGAAUGCAAUGGUUGGUUCACUAUUUUUUUUUCUUUUUUUAUUGAUACAAUGACGUUUAUCCAACGAACUGAAAAAGAAAUCGAGAUUCGUCAUGUUCUAAUAAUGAAAAGAUCUUCGAGAGGUAAUUUUUUCAAUUUUUACGAUUAAUAAAAUAUGUUAUCAGUUUGUAAUUGUGCUGUAUUUCACAUAAUUUAUUCUAAGUUUAUACUAAAAUUAAUCAUUGCUAGAAAUUGGCGCACAAUAUUAAUUGCGGACUGAUGAGAGUUCAACGAUAGUAUUAUUAUCGGUAUUUUAUAUUCAUCCCACAAAUCUUUUAUAAUUAUUAGGUCAAUCAUUUCUAUCAUUUCUUACUGUUACAAGUGUGAAAUAGCAAAAAUUGCAGAGAGUAAUUAUUAUUCAAACUUUUGAUAAGCUUGUCUGGUUAUUAUUACUCAAUCAUAUUAUUCAUCGAUAGAAUUGUUAUUCAUAUUCUAAUACGAAACAUUGCACGUAUACAUAGCGACAAAAGAGAUGAUAAUAGGAUUCUCGUUAUUCGAUAAAUACAAUAUGAAUAUAAUGUACGAUAAUCAAGGCACAAAUAGUUCGAGGUAAAUAGUUCGUUGAAUCUACCUUUCCUAAUUUUUUUUUUUUUUUAUCAGAUAGACAAUAUUUUUCAAAUAAAAUUUUCAUUAUCUAUCUACUACUUAUUUAAUAAAAAUAUCCAUUUUUAUAAAUUACGUACUAAUGCUUUCGAGAAUUCUAAAAAACAUAAUUUUCCAUUCUUGAUAAAACGUUUCAUUUUUUAUUAAUUUCCAAAAGUCACGCAAUUGCUUUUAAUUCUAAUUAAUUAAAAACACGGCACACCCUUAUGUGCCUAGGAUAUUUUUCAAAAGAAUUCUUAUUUCAAUUCCCGUGUAUCGUCCCUCCCCAUGAUACACCAUAAGGGAACCAUGUUUCGUUACAAAAUAGACAUAACAAUUAUAGCCAUGUGUUUCCGUGAACCAAGUGCGAUGAAUGUACGGCAUUAUACUCGAGGCCUAAAAAUAGGCGUGCUUCAUCCCCGCGCGGAGGAUAUCUGCAUUAGCCACCGGAAACACUAUAAAGUGGUUUCCGUUUUAGGAACGAAUGGCUGAAGGCGAUCUCGAGGAACACUCGCUCCUUACCGCUAUAUAUUUUCCUCCCCGUUGCUUUUACAAUCAAUGUUGGUGGAUUAACGAUCGUACAGAUUCUUCCAGCCUCCUUCGAGGAAUUCUCACGUCCGCUGACCUUUCCUCUUCCGUCGUUCGAAUCUCCGCGCGUGGAUCUUCGUUUCGUGACUGACGAAAUGCGAAUAGAUCGACGAACGAAAUAAUCCUUCGAGUUUUAGAAAGUAAGUUUUUUUUUUUUAACAUAAAUAAAUAUAAGUUGAAUGGAAUACAGAUAUGGAAUAAGGUAAGAUUAGAAAAAAAAAAAUAUAAUGAUGAUGUAGAGAUUAAUCUAAUCAAAUAAGUCCGUUUUUAAGUAUUAGAAGAAAAAAAUCAAAGAUGGAGAUAAGAAUUCUCAAGAGACGAUUAUAAUUAUUGAACGAUCAUAGAAUUUAAUUUUUCUUCGUUAAUAAUUUUUCCAAAGUUCGUUUUUCCAUUCUCGCAAUUGCGAUUUAAUAUCGCGAAUUACGAAGAACAUGUUAGCAACGUAAAUUUGUGCACAAUUCAUUAGUUGACACGUGAGGCCGAGCAUGGUAAUAGAGGCGAAGGACACCGUGCAAUGUAAUACAAAUUCUGUUCGAGCGUGAUACUGGGCUAUCUCAACUGAGCAUUUGAUUCACCUUGAGAGAUGUUGGACGAAGAAAUCUUGAUAGAAUGUAAUAGAUUGAAAGCCCGUUAGUUUGAUGUGCCAUCGACCGAAUCGAUCAUCUGACAUCAUACGUGACUAAUCAUAAACUUGACGAAUAAGAAGAACUUACCAAACGACUACGUCGUUUUUUGGAAUUAUUUAAUUUGUGAUAAUUUAUAUAUAUUAAAUAAUCAUUAAUGUGUAUAAUUACAAUUAACACUCGCACAAUUUUUUUAGGAAGAAAUUCUCUCAAAAUUUAACGGAAAAUCUAAAGUUUCUUCGAAUACUUGUGAUAUCACUUUCGUGAUAUAAUUAUUUUUUAAAUGAAGCGUUUAAAAUUUGAUCAUCGUCUGAUAGAUGUAAAGUGGUAUUUAGAGAGUAUUACCUCAAGAUCCCAUAAUCGUGAAGUCUGUAGUUCUUGGGAGUAAAGUGUGGUGAUAAAGUUUAAGUGCAUGGGUUCCAUGAAACUUUCUCUUGCCCAUGACUCACUCGAGACGUUACAUAGUUUCUUCCUUAUGUCAUAUCUUCGUCAGUUAUCAAUUUAACCCAACCUUAAUUAUCGACGAUGAUGAUUUAUUACUUAAUCGAACACCAAGACGUGUUACGAAAUCGUUUCCAAUCGAACGAUAUGGAAAUGAAGUUUUACUUUUCGCGCGAGCCAAUUCAAUAGAGAAUUAGUUCAACUUGAGAUUUUUAUCAGCGCUUGUUUUCCAUCCAACUCUUGCAACUCCGUUACUAACCGUUUCUCUCUUUUUAGAUUUUUGCAUGCGAAGAUAUAAUUAUCCCAUAGCAAGGAUGGAUUAAUUAAUUAAGUCCAUAUGCCCGCGAAAAAUGACCGAGUUACAAAAGACCUUAAGGACCUCGACACGUUCUUCUUCGCCCUCGCCUUCGGCCUUGCGCUCUUUCAAAUUAACAAUCUCCAAUUCCCACGAGUGGUGGAGGGAAUUUCACGGUCGAGAAACAACCGUGAACUUCGCGAUCAAUUUCCAUCCAUGGGACGAAAUGUUGUAUAUUCAUUAGCGGAAAUCGCAUUAAUAUUAAUGAAUCUCUUUUUGCUCUAAUAUCUCAUCGAGGUGAAUUUAUGAGAGAUAAAAACGACGUACGCAAAAAGUAAAUGAGAAAAAAGAAAAUGAAAAAUCACAAACAUGUUGAUCCGAUCCAUCGAUGAGGCUUGGAACAAUACUCUUGUUUGUCGAAGUGGCCCAUCGAUAUAGGUUAUCGCGAUGCUUCCAAAUGACAACAAUCCGGGCAAUUCGAUUGAAAUCUUGGCAUCGGUAACAAAAAAAAACAAAAGUGAAUUUUAUUCGAUGAAGACAGGGGAUGACGCAAAUUAACAGGACUUGUCGGGAGACACUCGGUUGAAAUAACGAAUAAAGUGGCGAAAUGGAUUAAAGCAAUAUCCCGUAACAAUUGUAUAACCAUGUGACGUAUUUACGCUCGACGUAAAUCAACUUACAAAGUUCCACAUGCGAGCACAUGCGGAUUGUUUAGAUUUUUAUAUAAUAAAAAGUAUGAGUUAGAUUGAAUGAAAAAAAAAAAUAGAAAUAUGUCGAAGAAAAUUUUAAUUGAAAGAAAAACGAAGAAAAUUUGAUUGCGGAUUAAUAAAUGAAUCGAUAUUAGAAAGUGGAUCGUUCAUGUUAAAUAAAUCUAUGAUAAAUUAAAAGUGAUUUAUCGUUUAAGAGAAAUUAUUAUACGAUCGAGGAGAAAAAAAUCUUUUAUCAGAAUUUUGACAUCAAUAUGGAAACUUGUCAAACAAGGGACAAUCUUUAAAUGCAGUUCUCCUUGUGCUCGCGAUCAAGGUGAUUCGAUUUAAUCAUAUACGAUUAUUUCGUUUCUUUUUUUUCGAUUCGUGAUAAAAUAUCUCUUUUAUAUUUUUACAUAUUUCGAUUGUCAUAUGACAUUAUCGAAUUAAAUUAUAAAUGUAAAAAAUUAAAAAGCACAAUUCGAUGUGUAAUUGAUCUGUAAUUAUUACACAGUAAUUUGAAACUUCCAACAGGUGCAAAAUUUAAACAGUUUCAAGCUUUGAUAUCAGCUCGAUAUCAAUUUGAUAUUUAUUCUCAAUACUUGAUUGAUAGUUUUCUAAAAAAUUGUAUAAAUUCAAAUCUUUCUUAUCAUUUAAUCGAUAAGUAAUAUAAAUGUAAACUUGAAAACUUAUCGUUAUAUCGAUAAAUAUCAUCGAUAUUUAUUCAUAGCGAUUGCUCAAUCAUCUUAAUCAUCUUAUUACUGGCAAGAAUUGUUAUUAAUGAAAAAAUAAUUCGUUUCAAUCUAAUAAAAAUUGGCAGCUUCUUCAUAAUAGAAAACUUCUAUCAAAUAAAUUGAAUACAAAUUGUACGACAUUAUCUAUCUAUAUAAAAUAAAAUCUAUGCAAAAUAUCAUUAUUAAAAUUUUGAUACAUUGAUUAUAAAAAAUUCAAAGAGAAUUUCGAAUUUAUUAUCUCGAUUUAUCUCGUCGAUCAAAUGAAAAGAUAUCGUUACUUCUCCAAUCAAAUGAAGAAGUAUCGUUAUUUCUCCAAUCGUAAGUUGGUUAACAACGUUAAUUCUACGGCCAAUAAAUUAAUCUAAGUGUACUCUGUGUAACGAGGAAAACGAUUUUGCUGGCGGCAGCAUCUUGGAGAAGAGUAAUUCCUUCAAUUUACCCACUGGUUCAUUGAUAGUCAAGCCUUUGACCUAUUUUUCAUGACCGUGAACGAGCUAGAGAGCCAUUAAAAGCGUCAUUGUCACACAACUACUAGAAAGACAUGAAACGAUUCUUUAAUUGCAGACACUUGCCCUGUUAACUGACGUACAUUUAUGUUUGGAACAGUCUAAGAUUAAUAGAGACGAAAUAAAACUGGACAUCGUCAUUUCAAACUUCCUGAAAUAUCUAAUCGAACAAAGAUCAGUGAUCAAAUAGAAUUAUUUAAAUCCUAUCGAUUAUUAUAUCAUUGAUAAUUGUAUAUUUUUUCAUCGAAAUAUAUCUAUUAAAUCUACUAUCAAUGUAAAAUUCUUCGAAUAAAAUAAAAAUGGUGUCUAAGUUUGAGGAACGAGCAUACUUUUCUAAAAAGACACACAUCGGAAAGAGAAGAAAAAUUAUACCUGCGAGGAUUCAGCUGCAACCCCGCAUAAUUUUGAAUAGAAUAAAUUCCACACCACACCCUUCAAACUCUAGAACUUGUUUGAGAAGAUCUUGGCUUCAACAUUU